rnacentral:misc_RNA from 1 species
CGUUGUCCGGCCCGGAGUACGU